rnacentral:rRNA from 1 species
GACGAACGCUGGCGGCGUGCUUAACACAUGCAAGUCGAACGGAAAGGCCCUGCUUUUGUGGGGUGCUCGAGUGGCGAACGGGUGAGUAACACGUGAGUAACCUGCCCUUGACUUUGGGAUAACUUCAGGAAACUGGGGCUAAUACCGGAUAGGAGCUCCUGCUGCCUGGUGGGGGUUGGAAAGUUUCGGCGGUUGGGGAUGGACUCGCGGCUUAUCAGCUUGUUGGUGGGGUAGUGGCUUACCAAGGCUUUGGCGGGUAGCCGGCCUGAGCGGGUGACCGGCCACAUUGGGACUGAGAUACGGCCCAGACUCCUACGGGAGGCAGCAGUGGGGAAUAUUGCACAAUGGGCGGAAGCCUGAUGCAGCAACGCCGCGUGCGGGAUGACGGCCUUCGGGUUGUAAACCGCUUUCGCCUGUGACGAAGCGUGAGUGACGGUAAUGUGUAAAGAAGCACCGGCUAACUACGUG